rnacentral:rRNA from 1 species
UAAGCGAAUAGUGAAAUCUGAUGGCUCAACCAUCAUCACAUUAUUCGAACUCACGAACUCGAGAAUGGUAGAGGUAGCUGGAAUUUCCUGUGUAGGAGUGAAAUCCGUAGAUAUAGGAAGGAACACCAAUGGCGUAGGCAGGCUACUGGACCAUUUCUGACGCUGAGGCACGAAAGCGUGGGGAGCGAACCGGAUUAGAUACCCGGGUAGUCCACGCCGUAAACGAUGGAUGCUA